GAAGAACACCCGUUAAUACGACUUGCCACCCCUCGCAGGAAAAUCAGCCCAGAACUCGCUGCGAGCGAAAGGCCGAACCUGCAUGGAUAAUUCCCGCAUGCUCUUCCUCCAAACUCCACAAGGUAACCUUCACACUCCAGCCGUGGUUACUCAUCCGAUCUUCGACUGGUUUUUCUGGGCCAGAAUGGCUCUGAAAUCUUUCAUCGAAGUCCAUCCCGACUCCCACUUCCCCAUCCAAAACCUCCCCUACGGAGUGUUCAGGGUUGCCCGGUACAGUGGCUUGACCGGGCGUGGCGAUCGGGGACUACGUUCUGGAUUUGUCCGUGAUCGUCUCUUCCGGGCUCUUCGACGGCUCAAUCCUGAAGAACUCCGAUUGCUUCUCUCAGCCUGAUUUAAACAAGUUCCUGGCUAUGGGACGUCCUGCUUGGAAAGAAGCUCGUGCUUUGCUUCGGAGACUAUUGUCAUUGUGAAAACAUGUAAAGAAUGAAAUACAAUGCACUCAAGAUGCUCGAGAAAAUGAUACAACCAGAGAGGAAAAUUUUCCUUUGUAUUUCGUAUUCUCCAACCUACUGUUCAUUACAUCUAUGUGCUAUUUAUAUCAGAAACUUUCCAAAGAAUUAGAUUACAUCAACGGUUCAGAUUUACACAAAUGAUUGUAAAUGAUAUUUUAGACCUAGGACACUUGUAGCUCUUUCAUUGGUUCUCUUGAAGACGCUUUUGGAAGAUGCUCUUUGUAGCCGUUGUGCAUGAGUCUGUUGUUUGCUUCUGGCUGUGGUCUGUGCUGUCUGGUACAGCAAUUUGGGUAUGAGCCUUGCCAUGCGCAUUACCAUACGUUGUGGCUGCAGAGUUUGUCGUUGCUUCAAUAGUCAUGUAUACCAACUAUCAGUUUGUGGUAUUAAUACCCUUCGGUGCUUCAUGUCAGUGGUGUUGUUUCAUGUUUGUCUGAUAUUUGAUGCUAUAUUGACAAGAAGUUGGUUUUGACAGCUACAGACAUUCAGGCAUGGAAUAUGUUCCUCUCGGCCCUUUUCUUGGAAAGAGUUUUGGAAAAAGAUGAAAUUUUAUUACUCCAAUUUUCAAAAUUCAUCUGGCAAACUUGAAGGUCAGGAUACACACACUAUGUCUACCUGCUGUCUCACUAAGGAUUGCACAUGUACUUUGCAUACAAGUGGUUCUUUAGUCUGUGGAGAACUGAAUCAAUUUUGUUUACAUACUCUUUUCAGGCACUACAAUAUCCCCAUAGAUUGUAACGUUAGAUGCUCUUGAACCUUUUGCUUGUGAUGCUCCCAAACAGGACCCUCCUCCUUUGCCAUAUCUGGCUGAAAAACAUCCAAGAACUAUGACAUUGCAUUGGAGGCAGUAUAUACUUCAAUGCUCUCGUUUUGCAGAUUGUCUUCCUUCUAUAUCAUGAUCCAGUGUUCCUCUGUUUCAAGUGAUCAAUUUGCUGUUCCAAAGAUGAUUGCAUUCUCAAGAGAAAUAUGAAACUGUACUCUUCUUGCAAGGUUCAAAUUAAACCCGCUGGACACAAAGAUUCGUGUGUGGUUGCAAAAAGCAAUUUCAAAAAUUUGUAAGGAGUUACAUUACAUUCAUCCUCUCUUACAGUCAACAGAAUGUUCAUAACUUCCCAGUAAAUAGAAAGCUUUAGAUAGUUUUAUUUCUAUAUGGAUCCUUUUUGGUAUUCUAUAUGCACAUAUUUUUGCAGUUGUGUAUAUUAUGAGUUGGUGUUUCUUUUAGGCAUCUUGAACUACUUUUACUUGUAUUUAGAUAUUAGACAUUAACUCAACAGCUUGCUUACCACACCAUUAAUGGUUGCAACUGAAGGCCUGGCGAUCUCCUUGGAACUGGGACCAUCAGUGGACCUGUAUGGUUUCAUCUUAUCUGUUUAUUUUUAAUUUUACUUUCGUACAAUCAUAAUGCUGGAAUUCUGAUAAUUUUGUAUUCAAAUGACUGUAACUUAACUUUGAAGCCUGCAAUUCCUGUUUUGUACAAAAUAUAAGUUCAGCCACUACUUGUGCCUCCCGCGACAGGAGCCAGAAUCUCUUGGAUGCUUGCUAGAGUUUAACGUGGAAUGGACAGAAACCACUAUCCUUGAAUGGGACACCUCGAAAAUUCCUAGAAGAUGGAGAUGAAGUCAUUUUUAAUGGAUUUUGCAAGGGAAAUGGUUAUAAUGCUGGGUUUGGGGCAUGUUCUGGAAAGAUUAUUCCAUCACGUCCUUGAGGAUGAUGAUGUUUUCUUGAUAUUAUAGUGGUUAACAUUUUCCUUUGGUUUAUAUAUAUAUAUAUUUUUUUUCUUGUAUAU